CAAAUCCUGCAAACAAAAUUUCAGUUACUGAUAUGUGAAGCACAGCUGAAAACCACAAAAUAUAUCGCUAGUGAAUCAAACCAUAUGAGAACAAUCUACCCAACAUAGCACCACCCAUGUUUUUUGUAAUGUUAGGUCCAAUGUUUGUGUAGCAACACCAAAUGAGCAAAGGCUUCAAAUGCAUUAGUCACAAUCUUAAUUGUAAAAGUUACAAACUCAAUCAUUUUGGCUCAAAAAUAAGCUCCACAAUCUUAAUUUUAAAGAGUUACGUUCUCAAUCAUUUUGGCUCAAAAACUAGCUUGCAUCUUGUUAAACCUUUUACCAUUUUAGUUGUCAUUGAAGCCAUUCAUUCAACCAAUUUAGCCAGUCCCUGAGAUCAAGUUAAAGUAACUUCCAUUCUCAGUUAUUGAGUGAUUGAUAGUUCCUAUUUUAUUUCCUAACUUUUUUGUAGAUCUCUUGAGCAUUCUAUUUUGAAUUUGCUAGUUUAGUUUUGUAAUGCAUUUGUUUUCUUUUUUGAAGGGUCUAAUAAUGAAAAAAGGGCAAAUUUUAUUUCUAGGCAAAAUUUUGAUUCUGGAAAAUAUGUAGGGCAUGAACUAGGAGGAUCUUCGCAUAUUGAAUCUCAAUUGAAAUGGAUUUAUUUUAUCUGCUAUCACAUGAAAUUUUAUAGAAUAGACCAUUUGGGUUUUCAUUGGUUGUUUUACAUCUUACAAGUUGGCUGUUAAAUAAUUUGUUAAGAGAUUUUUUGAUAAAUUCUCUUCAUGUGAAUAUGAGAUUAGUUGAUUGGUUAAUAGGUGUGGUUUUUUUUUAAUUUAUGUAUAUUUAAUUAAUUUAGGAAUUACUUGAAAUAUUG
rnacentral:misc_RNA from 1 species